rnacentral:tRNA from 1 species
GGGGUUGUCACUCAGUGGUAGAGCACUUGCCUAGCAUGUAUGAGGCACUGGGUUCAAUUCUCAGCACUACA